rnacentral:rRNA from 1 species
AUGCAACUUGUCUCAGGGGGACAGACUGCGAUGUCGAUUAACGGAGAAGUGGGGAACUUCUUUUGCAACAAAUGGGGUCUCAGACAAGGAGACCCCUCCUCACCUUUGAUUUUCAACUUUGUUGUUGAUGCCCUCUCGACCAUGGUGAACAAGGCCAAGAUCGCCGGCCACAUUCGCGGUGUGGUGCCUCACCUCUGCUCCGAAGGGAUCACCCAUUUACAAUAUGCGGACGACACUUUGCUACUCUUCGAGCCCGAUGACCAUAGUAUAGCCUCGAUUAAGCUCAUCCUCCUCGCUUUCGAGAUCAUCUCCGGCCUGAAGAUAAACUUUUUGAAGAGUGAGGUGAUUGCCAUAGGGAUGGACAAUCCCCGUGCCACUCGCAUUGCCAACCUACUUAACUGCAAACUAGGGAGUUUUCCAAUUAAGUACCUAGGCCUUCCCAUCUCGGACAAACACAUCUCGAUUCUUGAAUGGGAACCCUUAUACGGCAAGGUGGCGAACCAGGUUAGUCCCUGGCGCGGUCUGCGGCUAGACUGA